rnacentral:rRNA from 1 species
GUGCAAUUUUGAACAUAUUUGAACUGUGAAACUGCGAAUGGCUCAUUAAAUCAAUUAUAGUUUGUUUGAUGGUACGUGCUACUCGGAUAACCAUAGUAAUUCUAGAGCUAAUACGUGCAACAAACCCCGACUUCUGGGAGGGGCGCAUUUAUUAGAUAAAAGGCUGACGCGGGCUCUGCUCGCUGAUCCGAUGAUUCAUGAUAACUCGACGGAUCGCACGGCCUUCGUGUCGGCGACGCAUCAUUCAAAUUUCUGCCCUAUCAACUUUCGAUGGUAGGAUAGGGGCCUACCAUGUUGGUGACGGGUGACCGAGAAUUAGGGUUCGAUUGUCAGGAC